CUUAUGAACACUGCUUCUUACAUACUGAACUUGUCACACAUAGAAAGAAAUACAAGGCAUGAAUUCAAACCCCAGGACAGCCAACACAACUUUAGAAAAGACUUGUGCUCUGGCCUACCCAGAGUACUCCUCUAACUCUUAGGGUUACAACAUCCCCGUAUGGCACGGCCACAUUAAGUUUCCUACUCUGAAUAGCUUUCUCUAAUGUCAACCCUGUGGAGUCUUCUCUGUCUUGUCCGAGUUGCUCGAGAUAUGUUCAAUCAUUUUUUAAUACAUAAGCAAACAGUACAAUAUUCAGUUUGAAGCUAAGAGUCUGAAUGCGUGUGAGAAAAUAAAAAAGUCUGAAUGACUUCCUUAGGGUCAUAAUAAAAACUCUAUCAUUCUUAUCGUUUACGCAGUUUUGAAAACACACUUUCCUCUACAGGUUGAAGGUGGACAACUAUUAAGACGGACGAGGAUUCUAACGUCGAGAACUUUGCUCUAGGGAUUCACCCUGAGCUAAUGAGUGUAUGAUGUAUUCUCGAAGAUGAGGAACUGAGACUCAAAAAAGUUAAAUGACUUCAUCAAAGAAAGAGAAGGGCAUAAAGGUUUCAAGAGCUCCCCUGAAC
rnacentral:lncRNA from 1 species